AAAGGAAUAGACGGGGGCCCGCACAAGCAGUGGAUUAUGUGGUUUAAUUCGAAGCAACGCGAAGAACCUUACCAGGGCUUGACAUGGGGAUGACCGCUCUAGAGAUAGAGCUUCUCUUCGGAGCAUCCCACACAGGUGGUGCAUGGUUGUCGUCAGCUCGUGUCGUGAGAUGUUGGGUUAAGUCCCAUAACGAGCGCAACCCCUAUUGCUAGUUGCUACGCAAGAGCACUCUAGCGAGACUGCCGUUGACAAAACGGAGGAAGGUGGGGACGACGUCAAAUCAUCAUGCCCCUUAUGUCCUGGGCUACACACGUAAUACAAUGGCGUUUAACAGAGGGAAGCAAAGCUGCGAGGCAGAGCAAAUCCCUAAAAGGCGUCUCAGUUCGGAUUGCAGGCUGCAACUCGCCUGCAUGAAGUCGGAAUUGCUAGUAAUCGCGGAUCAGAAUGCCGCGGUGAAUACGUUCCCGGGCCUUGUACACACCGCCCGU
rnacentral:rRNA from 1 species